rnacentral:rRNA from 1 species
GAUGAACGCUGGCGGCGUGCCUAACACAUGCAAGUCGAGCGAACAGACGAGGAGCUUGCUCCUCUGACGUUAGCGGCGGACGGGUGAGUAACACGUGGACAACCUACCUAUAAGACUGGGAUAACUUUGGGAAACCGGAUCUAAUACCGGAUAAUAUAUUGACCCGCAUGGUUCAAUAGUGAAAGUCGCUUUUUCUUUCACUUAUAGAUGGAUCCGCGCCGGAUUAGUUAGUUGGCAAGGUAACGGCUUACCCAGGCAACGAUGCGUAGCCGACCUCAGUGGGUGGUGGCCCACCCUGGAACUGAGACACGGUCCCGACUCCUGCGGGAGGCCGCGGUCGGGAAUCUUCCGCGAUGCACGAAAGCCUAACGGUGCACCGCCGCGUGAGUGAUGAGGGUCUACGGACCGUAGAGCUCUGUUAUUAGGAAAGAAGGAAUGUGUAAGUAACUGUGCUCGUCUUGACGGUACCUGGUCAAAAAGCCACGGCUAACUACGUG